rnacentral:rRNA from 1 species
AAGACUUGUACUGCGCUAGUCUCAGAACUCUCAGACAAGUAGCUAGACGACUGUGAACUCGUAAA